UUUCGAUGCUUACCUACCAAGUUCUUGUUUUUCAAAAGCGUAUCAGGUGUACCUUGGCGAAAGUGAAUAUUGCUGUUUUGUUCAACAUUACCUAGUCAGUAAUUAACAUCGUCAAUAUUUAGAUAGUCUACAAACCAAUGGAUCUAAAUGAAUAAAUGUUAUAUUCUCAAUGCACCAGCACUCUGUUAGACGACUACUUGAAGACUCACAAUCUAGAAAUGGGGAUUCAUGCUUAAUUGUUUUGGUAACUGAGAGUGAAUCAAUGUUAUUAGGACAUAAAAAAAUGUUUUAGUAGCAGAUAGUCCAUAUUUCCGAGCUGUGUUUAACAGUUUUGAGAAGAGCAACAAUUCAAGUCUUGAUAAUAUGAGUUGGAUCCCACCGUUUUACUACUAUUUUUAGAUGAUAAUUAUAUAUAUUUAUACUGGCAAAAUUAUGGUCACCAAUGAAAAUGUACAGAAAUCAGUUCAGCAUUUCACUAUUCCAAAUAGGAUUCGGUGUAGAGGUUUUUGAUGUCAGUGCUUAAAAAUGGGUAGCUAGUAUGACUCAAUAAGUGAUCAGCGGAUCAGCGUGGGGUAUGCUCAAUAAUCGUUUAUAUGAGAUAGGAUGUUUUUCAAAACAUUUGAAGUCUGUCGAACGUUAUGAUCCCACACAUGAAUAACCUAGUUAAAUAACUGUUUGUAUUUCGUGAAGGUGUUAAUAUAGAAGUUUUGGAAGGUGGUAUGUAUGCUGUCAGUGUUAGUGAUGUAUCAACAUUUCCUAACAGUAUUGAGGCCUGUAGAAUAAUGAUGGAUUAUAUUGCUUAUAUAUACCUACCUGAAGUCAGUUCAGUAUUUCGCCAUUCCAAAUACGAUUCAGUGUAGAGGCUUUUGAUGUCAAUGUUCAAAAGUUGGUUGCUAGUAUGACUAUAGAAGUGAUUUGCCUAUAAGAGGUUUUGGCUUUCAAAGCAUUUGAAGUCUGUCAAAUGGUAUUAUCCCACACAUGAACUACCUAGUCAUAAAGAUGUUAAUAUAGAAGGUUCGGAAGGUGUUAUGUAUGCUAUCAGGGAUAGUUAUGGAUCAACAUUUCUUAACAGCAUUGAGGCCUAUACACAAAUUUGUCCAUCAAAUGAUGGAGUAUGGUCUUUUAUUGCUAACAUAUUUCUCGAUACAUACUUGGAGUAGUCGAAUCAGAUGGUUUAUUGUAUGUGAUUGAUGGAGAAGCAGAUAAAUCUGAAGAAUUUGUGAAUACUAUAGAAGUGUAUAACCCAACAUCAAACAUUUGGUCCGUGGAAACAUUGUCAAGAAGUAACAUUGACUUCUGUGUGUUUAGUUGAGUAGUCGUUAAUGGGCCACCACAAUUUAUAUCUAAUUAACAUUUAUAGUAGUCUUAUUGGUAGUAAUAACACACACAUAUAUUUUAUAACUUAUGAUGAAACAAAUAUUUAUUCUAUCAAUUUUAAACAACUGAUUCAAUUAGGUUCAACUAAAUAUUCAUUGGGGGACGGAGUGCCAAAGCGGACUAAGGCGUCGGCUGCGACGCAGUCGACCCGAGUUCGAUUUUUAGGCCAUGGGCGGCAUUUUUCUUUGGACAAGUCACGGUGUCCGGAGAACAAGUGCCGCCAUCCCUCACCCGGGUUUAUAAUAACUUAAUAUUUGUUAAUUUCUAAAUGGUAAUGUUUUAAUAGGAACUUUUUUUUUUUUGCUUACUAAUUAUUUAAAUUAAGUAUUUAGUUUUAACACAAAAAAUUAUGAUAUACAAAUUAAUAAUCAUUUUAAACAUGUUUUAAAAGUGUUUGAUAUGUUGGGAAAUGAAAUGGAUUCAUCGUGUGAAAAUGUUUUAAGGCAAAUUCUGGAAACCAAUGGAUCUGAACGAAUAAAUGGUAUAUUCUCAAUACAUUCUUACUCUGUUAGACGACUACUUGAAGACUCAAAAUUUAGAAAUGAAGAUUCAUGCUUUAUACGAUUGGUAACUGAUGGUGGAUCAAUUUGGCCAUUAAAUGUGUUAUUAAAUGGGUAAAACAUGUUUUUGAUUGGAGAAAAAUGUAUUGCCAGCAUUAAUAGAACAUGUUCAUUUGCCAUUAUUAGCAUCAACGCCCGAUAUAUAGUAAAUAUUAUGGUUCAAGAACCACUUCUGAAAAAUAAUUUUAAAUUUAAUGAUUUUGUAUUAGAAGCUUUACAAUUUCUUUCAUAGAAGUCAGUUCAGCAUUUCAUCAUUCCAAAUACGAUUCAGUGUAGAGGUUUUUGAUGUCAGUGUUCAACAAUGGGUAGCUAGUAUGACUACAGAAGUGAUUUGCGGUUUUUCAAAACAUUUGUAUGUCAAAUGUUAUGAUCUCACGCAUGUACCAUCUAGUUGAAGAACUUUCUGUAUGUCAUGAAGGUGUUAAUAUAGAAGUUUUGAAAGGUGUUAUGUAUGCUAUCAGUGAGUAGUCGAACCAAAUGGUUUAUUGUAUGUGAUUGAUGGAGAAACAGACAAAUCUGAAAAAAUUGUUAAUACUAUAGAAGUGUACAACCCAACACCCAACACCUGGUCCAUGGAAACAUUGUCAAGAAGUAACAUUGACUUAUGUGUGUUUAGUAGAGAAGUCGUCAAUGGGCCACCACAUUUUAUAUCUAAUUAACAUUUAUAAUAGUCUUGUUGCUAGUAGUAAUAUACACAUAUAUUUUAUAACUUAUGAUGAACACAUUUAUUUAUUCUAUCAAUUUUCCUUUUUUUUUUUAACGUUCAAUAAAAAGCUUUUUAAAUAAUUUAAAUCAACUAUUACAUUUAAGUUAAA